rnacentral:rRNA from 1 species
AUACCAGCUCUCCGAGUGGUGUGGAUGUUUAUUGGGCCUAAAGCAUCCGUAGCUGGCUAAGUUAGUCCCUUGUUAAAUCCACCGAAUUAAUCGUUGGAUUGCGGGGGAUACUGCUUGGCUAGGGGACGAGAGAGGCAGACGGUAUUUUCGGGGUAGGGGUGAAAUCCUAUAAUCCCGGGAAGACCACCAGUGGCGAAGGCUGUCUGCUAGAACGCGCCCGACGGUGAGGGAUGAAAGCUGGGGGAGC